GAGUUUGAUCGUGGCUCAGGAUGAACGCUGGCGGCGUGCCUAAUACAUGCAAGUCGAGCGAACAGACGAGGAGCUUGCUCCUCUGACGUUAGCGGCGGACGGGUGAGUAACACGUGGAUAACCUACCUAUAAGACUGGGAUAACUUCGGGAAACCGGAGCUAAUACCGGAUAAUAUAUUGAACCGCAUGGUUCAAUAGUGAAAGACGGUUUUGCUGUCACUUAUAGAUGGAUCCGCGCCGCAUUAGCUAGUUGGUAAAGUAACGGCUUACCAAGGCAACGAUGCGUAGCCGACCUGAGAGGGUGAUCGGCCACACUGGAACUGAGACACGGUCCAGACUCCUACGGGAGGCAGCAGUAGGGAAUCUUCCGCAAUGGGCGAAAGCCUGACGGAGCAACGCCGCGUGAGUGAUGAAGGUCUUCGGAUCGUAAAACUCUGUUAUUAGGGUAAGAACAAAUGUGUAAGUAACUAUGCACGUCUUGACGGUACCUAAUCAGAAAGCCACGGCUAACUACGU
rnacentral:rRNA from 1 species